UACGACUACAUAUCAGGCAUAUCAAUAAGCGGAGGAAAAGAAACUAACAAGGAUUCCCCUAGUAACGGCGAGUGAAGCGGGAAGAGCUCAAAUUUGAAAUCUUAAAGGGUUUCCCUUUACGAAUUGUAGUUUAAAGAAGUGUUUUCUGUUGGAGUUUCGGUAAAAGUUCUUUGGAAUAGGACAUCAUAGAGGGUGAGAAUCCCGUAUUUGACCGUUACUUUCCAGCUGUGUGAUACACUUUCAAAGAGUCGGAUUGUUUGGGAAUGCAGUCCAAGAUGGGUGGUAAAUUUCAUCUAAAGCUAAAUAUUGGCGAGAGACCGAUAGCGAACAAGUACCGUGAGGGAAAGAUGAAAAGAACUUUGAAAAGAGAGUUAAACAGUACGUGAAAUUGUCAAAAGGGAAGCGUUUGACACCAGUGUUGUUUAGUUGAAAAUCAAUUCAAUAGUUUUUGAUUCUAAGUAGUAUUGACUUCAUCAGCUUGCUGCUUUCUUCUCAGAAAUUAUUGAAUGCACUUUUCAGUUAACAAGUCAACAUCAAUUUCUUUUGUUGUAAAAGGGUAAGAGGAAGGUGGCUUGCGCUUCGGCUCAAGUGUUUAUAGCCUUUUAUCUCUGCAAUCGGAGAGAUUGAGGUCUGCAGCGUAGACUCCUUCGGGGUUAGAUACAUUUGUGCUAAGCUUGUAGCCUUUUCAUAGACAACUUGUUGACUAUGUCUCAGUCAUGUAGGCUUACUCGCUGAUGCUAUUUUACCUACGCUUAGGAUGUUGAGUAGCGACAUACGCAC
rnacentral:rRNA from 1 species